UACGAAGGGGGCUAGCGUUGUUCGGAAUUACUGGGCGUAAAGCGUGCGCAGGCGGCUUCUCAAGUCAGGGGUGAAAGCCCAGAGCUCAACUCUGGAAUUGCCUUUGAGACUGAGUGGCUUGAGUACGAGAGAGGUGAGUGGAAUUCCCAGUGUAGAGGUGAAAUUCGUAGAUAUUGGGAAGAACACCAGUGGCGAAGGCGGCUCACUGGCUCGUAACUGACGCUCAUGCACGACAGCGUGGGGAUCAAACAGG
rnacentral:rRNA from 1 species